rnacentral:lncRNA from 1 species
CUUCCCCGCCUCUCUCCCCCAAAAGGAUUCGAAGCGGCAUUACCAACCUCUGAUAUGGAGACGUGUUUAUUAUUUUCACGGUUUCUGCAGGAAGCUCCCCGGAACUCGAAGGGGAAUUAUAUUCAGAGAGAACUGGGUCCCCAGCGUACACGGUCUUCAAGCCUGGGGGCCAUUACUGAUCCAUCCUCACCCACGUCUCACGCCCCCAUCGUUCCAAAAGACAGAAGGCACUCCUUCUUCCGAAGGUCCCCAGAUCUGAUCUCAACAGCCCAGAGAGGUUAAGUCAUCGACCCCAAGUCACACAGCACCACAGGCAAGAUGAAAAGUCAAGUCUGAUUCCCAGCUCAGUCCUCCAGCCCCUCCACCUACAGUGACUUCAGAUGCCUGGCUGCUCCCAGGGGGUCUCCUGGAAAGCUGUAGUCUAGAAACAUUACAGGCGUCCGAGACUAUGCCCCCCCGGGGAACUGUUCUGAAGCCUCAUUUCUCAAGUUAGUGACAGGGGUCUCCAGCUAAGACUCCCCAGGCAGGGGGACCAUCAUGAUGGCGACAGAAGAGCGAAGGGAUCCCUCCUGGGCGAUGUGACAUGGCCGUGGGUGAGGCGGCCGAGACCCAUCUUUGGACAAUGUACAGGAAUUAUAAAUGGGUAGCUGCAUGGACGGAUGGGUGGCUGAGUGGAUGGAUGUGUGAGUAGAGGGGCAGAUGGACAGAUCAGUGAACGGCUGGUGAGUGAUGGACGGACGGAUGGGUGGGUGGGUGGACGGCUGAUGGAUGGAUGGAAGGAAGAAAGAGACGGAAAGAAGAGACGGCGGAUGGAUGACAGAUGGGUGAGUGACUGGGUGGACGGAGAGAUGGGAAAGCAGAAAGGUUCUGUUUUCCAAAGUCCCAGCCACAUGGACUGUGUCCAAAGUUUUCCCAAAAGGCCUCAGUGGGUUUUCAGGAAGAUUCAAGUAUUUUCUGGUCCAUAAGACCCGGAAGCCAGUGAGCCAGCAAUCUGCCCCCAGGGGUCCUCGGCCGGGAGGGCACCUCCUCCCUCCUCUGCUAGGUCUCUGCCUGUGUCUCCAGAAGGGCCUUUUGUCCGCCUGAAAGGAGAAGUGGAGCCCCGCCAGGGGACGGAGGCUUCCUGGGUUUCUGCAGAUGCAAACCCCAGAAGACUAGACACACGAGGCCCGUGGGCCAGGCAGCCUGGGAAAGGGCUCCUGUCUGGGGGGGGCCUGUCUGUCCUGAGCACAAACACAGCUGCCCUGGAGUCAGGGUGUCCAGGCUCGUAUCACCC